AUAUGAAAAAAAUUUACACUACCUAGUCUUUCUUUCCCUUUAAAAUCACUUUCUUAAUUUUUAUAAAAUCCAUUGCUUCUAUUUUUUUAAUCUGAAAUAUUUAGGAUCAAAUUUUUAUAAGUUGUAUAUAAAAAUUAAGCCAGUUGAUGAGAACAUUGAAGUUUGAUCUAAUCAAACACAGCCCUUCCCUAUUUUUUCACCUGGAGUUGCACAAUUUUUGUGACACUAAAACAAUCUUGGUAUAGGAGAUGAAAGCUACUUGUUGAGUUACUAGGACAAUGUAUCUUUUACUCAGAAUAAAUGAACAGAGUUAGUAUAUCAGUUAUCACAGGGAAGCUGGCACAUGUAUCUUGUCUGAAUUUGGAUUUUUAAAAAAUUGACUUCAGAAACCAUUGUGUAGUAUUUUAACUAAAAUCAUCUAGCAGGAUAUUCAGGAAAAAAUCAUAAUGAAAACGUAGUUUAAUAUAUUUACUUUGUCCUAGUUAGGUUCUCUUGAAUGCAGGCUUGUGAAAAAGAGACUAAAAUGUUCUCCUGUAUUUGAAAAGGGUUCUUUUUUCCCUUGUCCCCUGCUGGAGGCACAGGUGAUUUUAAUCUAAUAUUGACUGUGAGAACAUGGUGGACCGCCUAGAGAUAAACCUCAGAAACAUGUGCAGCCUCCCUUGUGACUAGGUACCCUUAGAGUUUUUAACUGAAUUGUCUUAACUGAAAUAGCAAUAGUUUGUAAGUUACAGUUCUGAAGUAAGAGAACUGUAGAAACAACACCCCCUGGCUGAGGAGGCAGCUAUGUGCCAGCCCCUUUGCCUACCCCCUACCACUCUUCUUGUAAGCUUGUAGCAAUUACAUGCCUUAUGUCCUUGCUAGCAGCUCUGCUAGCCAUGCUCCAAGCAUUGCUUAUCAGUUUUGUUUUUGUAAUCUUACUCAGCUUCUUGGGCAGGAACACUGUCUUCUAGGGGAAGGGGAGGGCUGUGCUGCUUGCACCAGGAAAAACAAGGCCAGGAAGUUUGUAUUGUAUAAAAGCUACUCAGAACAAAGCCCAGUUGCUCAGAUUCUGGAGGUGACUCCCCUGAGCCUGCACCAAUGCUGCAUAAACCUGGCUAUUCCGCAUCUCCGAGUGCCGCUUGUCUCUUUCUGCUGCGACGGUUUCUGCAAUGGUUCAGGUUUUCCUAUCCUGGUACUGGUUUCCUCCCUGACCUCCACUAAGUUCUGAGGAAAUAGGAAAUAUACUUUCCAUGCUUCCAGCAGGGCAAGGGGAAAAGAAAUAAUGAAAAACAAAACAAAUACUGGGAAAAAAAGAAAAGAAACGGCCUAUCCAAGGAUUAUGGGACACUUUCAAAAAGUUCUAAUAUACAUGUUAUGUAAAUACCAGAAGGCAAAGAGAAACAAAUAUUUGAAACAAUGACUGAGAAUUUGCCUAAUUUAAUGUCAGAUACCAAACAAACUACAGGUCCAAGAGGAACAGAGAAAACCAAGCAAUAGAAAUGCCAAUAAAUCCACAUCUGGAAAUACCACUUUCUAACUAUCGAAAAUCAAAAGUAAGGAUAAAAAUCUUAGAAAAAAGUGAGAGUUCUGGGGAAUAGAACAAAGGUAAGAAUUAUAAUCUGGUUUCUCUUUGGAGACAGUAUGAGCAAGAGAGUGAAAUUAACUAUUUAAAGUUGUCAGAGAAAGACCAGCAACCUGGAAUUCUCUACCCUGGAAAUUAUCCUUCAAAGGUGAGGGGGAAAGAGACUGUCAGACAAAAAAUUGGAGGAGUUUGGCAUCAGUAGACCUGCCUUGGAAGAAAUGUUAAAAGCGGCCCUUUAAAGAGGUCAGAAACUUGGAUAUCUGUAAGAAGAGAUGAACAUCAAAGAAGGACUAAGUGAAGGUAAAGCAGACUUUUCUUACUGAUCUAACAGAAUGCUUUGCAAAUGCAAAACCAAGCAACACAAAGGGGUACUGAAUAUUCAUGGGAUAAAUAAAUGGAUAAAAGUACAAAAUCAACAAACUAAUGAGAGAAGCUUUGCCACGGAUUCGGCGAGGGAUACAAAUGAAAAAAGAAGCAUGGGCAGAACUGAGUGUGUUUAAAUAGAUAAAAGUUUAAGAAGUAUUGUUCCAGAUGUUUUCAUCAACUGAAAUGUUAUGAAUUACAUUUCCGUUUUUCUUCUUAAGGAGUUAUGUAGAUCAGAAGUCCAACAUGGGUCUCACUGGGCCAAAAACAAGGUACUGGCAGGACUGCAUUCCUUUCUAGAAGCUCUAGGAGAGAGAUGUGUUUCACUGCUGGCUCCAGCUUUUCCAGGUUGCUGAUGUUCCUCAGUCCUAAAGCAAGAAUGAAGAGCUUCAGUUAAUGAAGUGAGUGGGUAAGUGAAAGGUAAAAAGACUUCCAAUACAUACUGGGAAACCUGGAAAGCUGCAUGUAAAUCAGUGAAGUUAGAACACUCCCUCACACCGUAAACAAUAAUAAACUCAAAAUGGCUUAAAGGCUUAAAUGUAAGAUGUGACACCAUAAAACUCCUAGAAGAGAACAUAAGCAAAACAUUCUUGGAUAUCAGUUGUACCAGUGUUUUCCUAGGUCUGUGUCCCAAGGCAAAGAAAUAAAAGAAAAUAUAAACAAACGGGACCUAAUCAAAUUUAUAAGUUUUUACACAGCAGGGGAAACCACACAUAAAAUGGAAAGACUAAAAAACUGUGGAUGGAGAGAAAACAUUUGCAAGUGAUGCAGUCAGCAAGGGUUUCAUUUAUAAAAUACGCAAGCAGUUCGUACAGCUCAAUAACAAUACAACCCAAUCAAAACAUUGGCAGAAGACCUAAAUAGACAUUUCUCCAAAGAAGAUAAUAUGUAUGGGCAGUAGGCACAUGAAAAGAUGCUCAACAGUACUAAUUAUUAGAGGAAUGCAAAUCU